GAGCCAUUAGCUCAGUUGGUAGAGCAUCUGACUUUUAAUCAGAGGGUCGAAGGUUCGAGUCCUUUAUGGCUCACCA
rnacentral:tRNA from 1 species